GCCGGCGUGGAUCUAGUGGUUAGGAUAUCUGGCUUUCACCCUAGAAGGGCCCGGGUUCGAUUCCCGGCGUCGGAA